rnacentral:rRNA from 1 species
UAACACGUGGGCAACCUGCCUGUAAGUUGGGGAUAACUCCGGGAAACCGGGGCUAAUACCGAAUGAUAAAGUGUGGCGCAUGCCACGCUUUUGAAAGAUGGUUUCGGCUAUCGCUUACAGAUGGGCCCGCGGUGCAUUAGCUAGUUGGUAGGGUAAUGGCCUACCAAGGCAACGAUGCAUAGCCGACCUGAGAGGGUGAUCGGCCACACUGGGACUGAGACACGGCCCAGACUCCUACGGGAGGCAGCAGUAGGGAAUCUUCCGCAAUGGACGAAAGUCUGACGGAGCAACGCCGCGUGUAUGAAGAAGGUUUUCGGAUCGUAAAGUACUGUUGUUAGAGAAGAACAAGGAUAAGAGUAACUGCUUGUCCCUUGACGGUAUCUAACCAGAAAGCCACGGCUAACUACGUGCCAGCAGCCGCGGUAAUACGUAGGUGGCAAGCGUUGUCCGGAUUUAUUGGGCGUAAAGCGCGCGCAGGCGGUCUUUUAAGUCUGAUGUGAAAGCCCCCGGCUUAACCGGGGAGGGUCAUUGGAAACUGGAAGACUGGAGUGCAGAAGAGGAGAGUGGAAUUCCACGUGUAGCGGUGAAAUGCGUAGAUAUGUGGAGGAACACCAGUGGCGAAGGCGACUCUC